rnacentral:lncRNA from 1 species
UAUACUGCAAAUUCAUCCACCAUGGGCUCCUCAAGGUGGCCUCUGACUUGCUUUGAAUUUGUGCAGGUAAAAGAUUUCACUGCAAGGACCAAAUGAAUGUCACAGAAGACCUCACAAGUACAGAGUGGAAAGAUUUUGUAGGUUCUAGCUAUCAGAUGAACUCCCAUGGGAAAUUCAAACUGAGAAGGUACAACAAGAUCAACAAACAAUGCUGACUUGCAUAAGAACUGGAAAAACCACAGCAAAACCCAUGAAAAGGAAUUUCAUUAGCAUGCGCCCUGAUCUCGUCCUCCAAACCCUCAUUGCUUUAGACAAGCAUGGAUUUAAUUGAGAGAAAAGCAAGCUGUGACUGUGGCUCAGGUGUGAAGGCUGUUUCCCUCAGCAAAUUAAAUCCG